rnacentral:misc_RNA from 1 species
CUAUAGCCUAACCCAGAACCAAUCCCUCUUGCGUUCGUUAUUCGAAAAGGAGGCGACUUAUUUCAAAUUUGCUAACGUGUCGGAUAGGUUGUGAGGUUGGACUAGAUUUUACGAGCGAGCGGAGCGAGCGAGCAACGAUUACAAUUUCCAAGCUAUACAUAUACCUUAUAUUGCCUUGCAUAUAUUUCCUGUUAUUGCCUAAU